rnacentral:lncRNA from 1 species
CGAGCCCCGGGGCGCCGCACGUGGACCCCCGGCACGGGCACGCUCACGUGCACCCGUCCUUUCACGCCAACGCGUUUCCUGCUGCCCCCACCCCUGCACCACUGCACGUCCCAGACCCCGGCCCAGCCUCCCCGCGGUCCCUAGGCUGGGGGAGCUCAGACAGGAGGCUAGGAGGAGGGGGACUUUGGGGCUGAGGCUUUGCCAAAGGAGCAGGAGUUUGCCAAGUGUUGUAGGAAGCGGGAAGGGUGCGCCAGGUAGGGGGCACGGCGUGUGCCAAGGCCCGGAAACGUGAAACCGAGUGCUUUUCGGGGGCAACCGGGAAGUCAGUUGGUGGAGAAAAAUCAAAGAUGGGAGGAAAGGCGAGGCUGACAAGGACCCUAAACGGUGAUUCCCCAAGUCGGCCACUGGAGGGAUGACUUGGGGGACCAGGGAGGAAGAGCAGAAACAGGGUCUAGCUAUGUUGCCCUGGCUGGUAUCAAACUCCUGGACUCAAACGAAAGUGCUGGGAUUCCAGGCAUGAGCCAGCGUUCCCGGCCUGCAUACGGGAUGAUUCCAUGUGGACUGCCACAUCAAGGAAGCAAACAAGGAAAGCCUGGCGCUGCGUGGAGCUGUCUUUCGCUGCUAACUGCCCUUGACCGACUUCCUACCAGGUCUUCC